GCUGGCGGCAGGCUUAACACAUGCAAGUCGAGCGGGCGUAGCAAUACGUCAGCGGCAGACGGGUGAGUAACGCGUGGGAACGUACCUUUUGGUUCGGAACAACCCAGGGAAACUUGGGCUAAUACCGGAUAAGCCCUUACGGGGAAAGAUUUAUCGCCGAAAGAUCGGCCCGCGUCUGAUUAGCUAGUUGGUGAGGUAACGGCUCACCAAGGCGACGAUCAGUAGCUGGUCUGAGAGGAUGAUCAGCCACAUUGGGACUGAGACACGGCCCAAACUCCUACGGGAGGCAGCAGUGGGGAAUAUUGGACAAUGGGCGCAAGCCUGAUCCAGCCAUGCCGCGUGAGUGAUGAAGGCCCUAGGGUUGUAAAGCUCUUUUGUGCGGGAAGAUAAUGACGGUACCGCAAGAAUAAGCCCCGGCUAACUUCGUGCCAGCAGCCGCGGUAAUACGAAGGGGGCUAGCGUUGCUCGGAAUCACUGGGCGUAAAGGGUGCGUAGGCGGGUCUUUAAGUCAGGGGUGAAAUCCUGGAGCUCAACUCCA
rnacentral:rRNA from 1 species